rnacentral:tRNA from 1 species
AUACUGUUAGCUCAGAUGGGUAGAGCAGUUGACUACGAAUCAACUAGUCCCGGGUUCAACUCCCGGACAGU